rnacentral:rRNA from 1 species
GACGAACGCUGGCGGCGUGCUUAACACAUGCAAGUCGAACGGAAAGGCCCUGCUUGCAGGGUGCUCGAGUGGCGAACGGGUGAGUAACACGUGGGUGAUCUGCCCCUUACUUUGGGAUAAGCCUGGGCAACUGGGUCUAAUACUGGAUAGGACCAUGCUGUAGGCGGUGUGGUGGAAAGAUUAGUUUCGGUAGGGGAUGAGCUCGCGGCCUAUCAGCUUGUUGGUGGGGUAAUGGCCGACCAAGGCGUCGACGGGUGGCCGGCCUGAGAGGGUGGACGGCCACAUUGGGACUGCGACACGACGCAGACUCCUAGGGGAGGCAGCAGUGGGGGAUAUUGCACAAUGGGAGCAAGCCUGAUGCAGCGACGCCGCGUGGGGGAUGACGGCCUUCUGGUUGUAAACACCUUUCGGCCAUGUAGAAGUGCUUGUGGUGACGGUAGUGGUAGAAGAAGCACCGGCUAACUACGUG